CCUACGGGGGGCAGCAGUGAGGAAUAUUGGUCAAUGGACGAGAGUCUGAACCAGCCAAGUAGCGUGAAGGAUGACUGCCCUAUGGGUUGUAAACAUCUUUUAUAAAGGAAUAAAACGAGGCACGUGUGCCUUUUUGCAUGUACUUUAUGAAUAAGGAUCGGCUAACUCCGUGCCAGCCGCCGCGGUAAUACGGAGGAUCCGAGCGUUAUCCGGAUUUAUUGGGUUUAAGGGGAGCGUAGAUGGGUUGUUAAGUCAGUUGUGAAAGUUUGCGGCUCAACCGUAAAAUUGCAAUUGAUACUGGCAGUCUUGAGUACAGUUGAGGUAGGUGGAAUUCGUGGUGUAGCGGUGAAAUGCUUAGAUAUCACGAAGAACCCCGAUUGCGAAGGCAGCUUACUAAACUGUGACUGACAUUGAUGCUCGAAAGUGUGGGUAUCAAACAGGAUUAGAUACCCGAGUAGUC
rnacentral:rRNA from 1 species